UACGAAGGGGGCUAGCGUUGCUCGGAAUCACUGGGCGUAAAGCGCACGUAGGCGGCUUUCUAAGUCAGGGGUGAAAUCCUGGAGCUCAACUCCAGAACUGCCUUUGAUACUGGAGAGCUUGAGUCCGGAAGAGGUGAGUGGAACUCCGAGUGUAGAGGUGAAAUUCGUAGAUAUUCGCAAGAACACUGAGGUGGACGGAAGGCGGCUGCCACUGGCCCGAUACUG
rnacentral:rRNA from 1 species